AUAGCGUAUAUUAAAGUUGUUGCAGUUAAAAAGCUCGUAGUUGAACUUCAGACCUGGCUGGACGGUCUGCCGAAAGGUAUGUACUGUCCGGCUGGGCCUUACCUCUUGGUGAGCCGGCAUGCCCUUCACUGGGUGUGUUGGGGAACCAGGACUUUUACCUUGAGAAAAUUAGAGUGUUCAAAGCAGGCUUAUGCUCGAAUACAUUAGCAUGGAAUAAUAAAAUAGGACGUGCGGUUCUAUUUUGUUGGUUUCUAGAGUCGCCGUAAUGAUUAAUAGGGAUAGUUGGGGGCAUUAGUAUUCCGUUGCUAGAGGUGAAAUUCUUGGAUUUACGGAAGACUAACUUCUG
rnacentral:rRNA from 1 species